CACAUCUGUUAACUUUCAGGUUCAUAAUUUGGUGUUAACAUGUAAUGAGUUGCGUAAUGUGUAGUGCUACUUGCACUGUGAAAAAAGUUUGAUAAAACAUAAUCUAAAUUGUGAAAAAAGACUUACAAACAGCAUUUCUAUCUCAAGUAGCCUCUUAAUAAAACUGAUAUUUUUAAUUCAUAGAUCUGUAAUGACUAGAUUGGGGAAAACAAUUCUGAUAGUGGGACAUGUAUUGCUGAUUUUUUAUUUUAAUUUUUUUUUACUCUUUUCAGUGUGCACCUUUCCUCUCUGUGUAGCUUUGUGGGUUGUGGGAUUUUGCUGCUUUCAUUUUCUCUUUUCCUUCAUAGAAAAAGCAAGAGAUACAACAGUUCAACAACACUCACUAAAAUGAGGUUGUAAAACAAAACAUUAGAGAGAGAAACUCAAGAACAGGCAUAAUAUCUAAACUCACUGUAACAACGUGCGUAUAAGCACAGCAUUAAAAGCUGGGGCUGAUAGAUUGUCCUGACAAUCUAGAUGUUGGGCUGGGCAUGACACUGUAGGUAUUUUUUGUUUACAGUGAUUUAAAGAAAACAGGUUUUUUAGUGAUCAGUAUAUUAAAAUCAAUAUUUUGCAUGAUCCUUGGCAGAUAGGAAAUUAUGAUAAGUAAUUUCAUUUUUAUUUUAAUAUAUAUUUCAGCUAUAUAUAUAGUUGAAAAACAUGGCUUCUGUAUGGCAAAGUUAAGAGGUUUUCUUCAGGGGCUGUUUGCUUCUGUCGUUAUAAUGAAUAUGCAGAUAUUUUGAAGAUGGACAGGAACAGUAUUUGCUUUCUGGGACAUUUAUCUAGCAGUGAUCUAGACAAAGAACAACAUAAGUUUUAGAAAGAGUACACAAAGGAUUCUGAAUAGCAUUUGGAUGCUGCUCUGCCUGUUGCAUUAUAUGUACAUAGGUAAUCCUUACUACUAACCACGUUGUCGGCUCCAUGGCUCCCCUAAAGCUUACAGUUGUGAGAAAUCCUUCAUGAAGGGACUGUGGAGUUUUUGGAAACUUCUACAUACCAGAUAAGUAAUUUACAUUACAAUGUACUUAAAUUUCAUUAUAUAAUUAACAAAUGUAUGCUGUUUGGCUCUUCCCUUGUUGGCAAGCCUUUCUGCUUUGUUCUUUUUAGGUUCAGGAAUUAUCAGGUUAAACUAGGUAACCAUUUAUUUUCUAUUGUUUCUGAACAUGUACUUUGAAAACUCUCCAGCUAGAGAGAUUAAAUGAAUUCUAGGUACAAGAGUUCUCAGAGCUGUACCAAAAGCACUGCAUUACUUAAUUUAGCUGCCAUGCUCUUUAUAAAUAAAACACUAGAUUUAAUAUCAAGUGUAUCACAUUGUGGGCUCUUACUCUGAAUCCAGGGUGAACCUGUCUCUUAUGAUAAUGUCACAGUUUAUAACAAGAAACUCAUUUUAUAACCUGAAACUAAUUUAAUCUAUCUUGAAAAAAACAACUUAUGACUCAAUUUUUGCAUUUCAGGAUUCUUUUUGUAUAGUAUGAUGAUGCUAACACAGCUUAUUAUUAUUAAUCUCAUUUUGCUGUCUUAUAUAUCACUAUGCUAUUUCUUUCCCAGCAAUUUUUUUGUACUUUUUCACAUCAGUUCAGCUAUUAUGUUUGACAGAUGAACGUUUUUCAGCAGGUGUAAUAUAUGAAUCCAUGUGUCCUGGGUUCAGCUUAAACCACGACAACAUGUAAAAUGUAUCAUGCUCUUUUUGGAUAUUUUCUUGUCGGCCUCUUGAAUUGGCCAGCUUAAUUCAUAACUUUUGCUUUCAGCAACUUACCUGCUUCCCACUUCUGUGACAACAGAGUGUCUUCAGUUCUGCUGUAACCCAAAUUAUUCCCUAAAGUGUUUACUUUUUUUUAGUUCUGAACCACUUCUACCUUGCUUUGCAACUUCAAGAAAGCCAUCUGACUAACUGCAUAUUCCCAUUUAUGCACUCAGAUCUCAGCUAUCUCAAUUCUGCUACUUCUUGAAGGGCAAUGGUGUUCCUUGAGGUACCUCACAACUGAUGAUAUAGUGGCUCCCUUCGGUGUCCUGCAUCCUGCGCAGCAAUUGUAUCAGUUCUGACUUUGUAUAUGAGUCACUCCAGGGUGAUAGAUGAUGAAGUUUCUUCAGGUUUGGGGAUUCUGGCAUGGGUUUGCUUCUUGAGCUUGCUUCAGUGCCCGGGUACUUCGGAUACCCCUGGUACUUUGGAUACCUCAGGCUCACCUUCCAGUGUUGCAGUUCUCAGACUCUCACUUGCAGUGACACUGAAGAAAGAAACCAUCAGCCUGCUCCUUGGAAUGAUAAAAACCUAACUGCAGAACUAAAUCAUGAGCAUCUCAAAUCACUUUGUGCACUCACUCUUCUUUGUUAUUCUACAAAUUACAAGCUAUUUCUUGUUAAUUGCUCAGUGUUUUCCAAUAGACCAACUUCUGUUACUUAGGUCAAGCUUUCUGUAUUCAUGACAAACCUGAUAUUAAGGUAUUGAAUCUUACACUGGAAAUGCUGGGUAGUUUUAUCUUCUACUUGAUUUCAGAUUGUCUAGCAGUAAUGAACUCAUUAGUUAUCAUAAAUAUUUACCAUAUCUUUAAAGCUGUCCAAGUUUAUUUCACUUUCUACAAAUACUUCACUUAAAACUUCUCUGAAUUUGAAUAGUAUCGCCUAUCACAUAAAUGGCAAUUUUAUCACUAAAUACGUUGUAACAAACCUUGCUUUCAGGUAAGUUUUUGCUGGCUUUUGGAAUUCAAAGAAAGAAUAACAUUUGCUGUGGUGGUUUGUGUAAUCAUAAAAAAGAAAGGUGCUUAGGUAACGUAUCCUGGAUUUUCAGGAGGGCAGAAUAAAACUUGCCAGUAAAUUUUAUCUAAAUUUCAACGUUCUGUUGGCUUAAAAUCUCAUAUACAUAUCAACAUAUCAGAAAACUGGUAAACUGCAGUGUUGUCUCUAACCUUGUUUCUCUUGGUGUUUCUAGAACCAUCCCCUCUCCCUUCUUUGUGUAUGACCCCUAUGGACAGAGGACUUUGUAGAGCCAAAGAGUUAAGAUUUUUCUACAACUUCUCAACUGGAAGAUGUCACACAUUUAGCUACAGUGGUUGUGGUGGGAAUGAAAAUAACUUCACUUCCAGAAAGUCAUGUUUGAGGAUCUGCAAGAAAGGAUUCAAUAAAAAAAAAGGUGAAAGAAGAUUAAUAAAAAUCAAGAAGAAAAGAAAGAAAGAGUCAGUAAAGCCUCUGGGAGGGGAAAUCAACCCUGAAAGAAUACAGCUUUGAUUUUGAUGGAACUGUGAACUGAAUGUAAUUUUUGUGGAAAUGUAAACUACUAUUCACCUGUGAAUGAAAGCCUUUAGUGUACACCUUUUAAAUGUAUUUACUGUACUUAUUAUUUUGAUUACACUAUUAUUAAACUGCUUGUUUUUCUUAUGUAUUCCUCAUUCAUGUUAAUAAACAUAACCUUCUACUUUGAUAAA